AGAGAGUGUAAAGUCCUUGUAUUUGCCGGCUUGUAACAAGAUCAUCCUCAUGUUUAAAAAAUGCUUCAAUACACUCCUUAGACUUGCAAACACGAGAUAGAGAUGAUCAUGUGUACAUUUAAAGAUAGGUUCCAUGUUUCUCCAUUGUCACAUGAGAUGCGGUUUGGUGCAGCCAAACCGAUCUCGCGCACUCGAGUUGAGCUGAGUCGAGACCAACCG
rnacentral:lncRNA from 1 species